AGAAUGUGAGCAAUGGGAGCGGUAGGCAAUGGGCAAAGUUCAAAUAUUAAAACAAAAUUGGCUGAGGGGCUUUGGCAGGACUGACCGUGGUGAGGUGGCAGCCAUGAGGAGUCAGCCAGCAGGAGGAAGCAGUGCCCAUCGGGGACGGGACUGAAGAGGCAGGGAGAAGAGCACAGACAACAAGAAAGUGAAGUCAGGAGACUCAGCAGCCGGCUCUGCAAGCAGAGGCGAGGGUGUGCGGGCUCAGUCCCUGGUCGGAGAGUUGAGUUCCCAUGUGCCUUGGGGCCAAAAACCCAAAAGCUCUUUCCCGAUCUUGAGUCUGCUGGCUUUUGGACCUGAACCACACCACUGGCUCUCCUGGGUCUCCAGCUUGCUGACCACAGUGAUUCAGACUUGUCAGCCCUCGUGAUCCUGCAGACGAAGACGCACCAGAGCACUCGAUCUCUACCCUGUUCAGAAGCAGCAAGAAGGCAGCCGUCUAUAAGACAGGAAGAGGGCUUUCACCAGGGACCAAAUCUGCCGGCACCUUCACCUAGGACUUCCUGACCAGUAAAACUGUGAGAAAUAAAUGUCUGCUGUUCCAACCACCCAAUCUUUGGUACCUUUUUAUAGCAGC
ensembl:lncRNA